CAAAACGAACACAAGCAAGGAGGUUAUGAAAAGUACAAUAAAUGAUGUUGAUAUUUGUAACCGUAGCCACAAAGAGGCCACGAGAGGUCGACUUACCGGGCAGCAGAAUAAUCGUAAAGAUGGUCAAUUUCUCUUCAUCCACUGAGAUUCUCAGAGGAAAGCCUUGUAUGAAGACACCUGUGUUUAUCAAUGCAGUACACUUCUUGUGUCUGUGUGAAGUGAACUUGUGUGGCAGAUGGACCCAACUGGACCGGGCUGAGCGACACAAAGCAGAC